rnacentral:rRNA from 1 species
GAUGAACGCUGGCGGCGUGCCUAACACAUGCAAGUCGAGCGAACAGACGAUGAGCUCGCUCUUCUGACGUUAGCGACGGACGGGUGAGUAACACGUGGAUAACCCACCUCUUAGACUUGGAUAACGUCGAGAAGCCGGAGCUACUACCGGAUAAUAUAUUGAACGGGAUGGUUCAAUAGUGAUUGAGGGUUUUGCUGUCACUUAUAGCUGGAUCCGCGCUGCAUUAGCUAGUUGGUAGGGUAACGGCUUACCAAGGCGACGAUGCGUAGCCGACCUGAGAGGGUGAUCGGCCACACUGGAACUGAGACACGGUCCAGACUCCUACGGGAGGCAGCAGUAGGGAAUCUUCGGCAAUGGGCGAAAGCCUGACGGAGCAACGCCGCGUGGGUGAUGAAGGUCUUCGGAUCGUAAAACUCUGUUAUUGGGGAAGAACACAUGUGUAAGUAACUAUGCACGUCUUGACGGUACCUAAUCAAGAAGCCACGGCUAACUACGUG